GCAGGUUUCCUAGGUACACAGAGGAAGUCGACGAUUCAAUCGGAAUGAGUUCUACAAGCGCUCUUCGAGAGCUACAGCGCGAGCUGGAGACGAAAGCCAACGAUCUCAGCAAGCUACAGAAAGAUAUUGCGAAGAACCACCAAGUGAGGAAGAAGUACACUAUUCAGCUGGGUGAGAACGAGCUCGUGCUUAAGGAAUUGGAUCUGCUUAAUGACGAAUCAAAUGUAUAUAAAUUGAUUGGUCCAGUGCUCGUGAAGCAAGAUUUAGCAGAAGCAAAUGCGAAUGUGCGCAAGAGAAUUGAAUACAUCUCUGCAGAAUUGAAACGUCUUGAUUCAGC
rnacentral:misc_RNA from 1 species